rnacentral:rRNA from 1 species
UACGGAGGAUCCGAGCGUUAUCCGGAUUUAUUGGGUUUAAAGGGAGCGUAGGCGGGUUGUUAAGUCAGUUGUGAAAGUUUGCGGCUCAACCGUAAAAUUGCAGUUGAUACUGGCAUCCUUGAGUACAGUAGAGGUAGGCGGAAUUCGUGGUGUAGCGGUGAAAUGCGUAGAGAUCGGGAGGAACACCAGUGGCGAAGGCGGCCUGCUGGGCUUUAACUGACGCUGAAGCACGAAAGCGUGGGUAGCAAACAGG